CCUACGGGCGGCAGCAGUAGGGAAUCUUCCACAUUGGGCGAAAGCCUGAUGGAGCAACGCCGCGUGGGUGAAGAAGGUCUUCGGAUCGUAAAACCCUGUUGUUAGAGAAGAAAGUGCGUGAGAGUAACUGUUCACGUUUCGACGGUAUCUAACCAGAAAGCCACGGCUAACUACGUGCCAGCAGCCGCGGUAAUACGUAGGUGGCAAGCGUUAUCCGGAUUUAUUGGGCGUAAAGGGAACGCAGGCGGUCUUUUAAGUCUGAUGUGAAAGCCUUCGGCUUAACCGGAGUAGUGCAUUGGAAACUGGGAGACUGGAGUGCAGAAGAGGAGAGUGGAACUCCAUGUGUAGCGGUGAAAUGCGUAGAUAUAUGGAAGAACACCAGUGGCGAAAGCGGCUCUCUGGUCUGUAACUGACGCUGAGGUUCGAAAGCGUGGGUAGCAAACAGGAUUAGAUACCCGAGUAGUC
rnacentral:rRNA from 1 species